rnacentral:rRNA from 1 species
AUACGGAGGAUGCGAGCGUUAUCCGGAUUUAUUGGGUUUAAAGGGAGCGUAGGUGGGAUAUUAAGUCAGCUGUGAAAGUUUGGGGCUCAACCUUAAAAUUGCAGUUGAUACUGGUUUCCUUGAGUACGGUACAGGUGGGCGGAAUUCGUGGUGUAGCGGUGAAAUGCUUAGAUAUCACGAAGAACUCCGAUCGCGAAGGCAGCUCACCGGGCCGGAACUGACACUGAUGCUCGAAAGUGCGGGUAUCAAACAGGAUUAGAUACCCUGGUAGUCCGCACAGUAAACGAUGAAUACUCGCUGUUUGCGAUACACGGUAAGCGGCCAAGCGAAAGCGUUAAGUAUUCCACCUGGGGAGUACGCCGGCAAUGGUGAAACUCAAAGGAAUUGACGGGG